UACAGGGGGUGCAAACGUUGCUCGGAAUCAUUGGGCGUAAAGCGCACGUAGGCGGUUCGUUAUGUCAGAUGUGAAAGCCCUUGGCUUAACCGAGGAAGUGCAUCCGAAACUGGCGAGCUAGAGUACGAAAGAGGAUCGCGGAAUUCCCAGUGUAGCGGUGAAAUGCGUAGAUACUGGGAGGAACACCAGUGGCGAAGGCGGCUACCUGGACCGGUUCUGACGCUGAUGCGCGAAAGCGUGGGUAGCAAACAGG
rnacentral:rRNA from 1 species